UUUAAGGUCUGACCUGCCCAAUGAGGAGUUAAAUGGCCGCAGUAUUUUGACUGUGCAAAGGUAGCAUAAUUAUUAGUUUUUUAAUUGAAAGCUUGUAUGAAGGGUUGGACGAGAUAAAGUCUGUCUUUAUUUAAUUUAGAUUAGAAUUUAACUUUUAAGUUAAAAGGCUUAAAUGUCUGUAAAAGACGAGAAGACCCUAUAGAUCUUUAUUCGAUUAAUAUUUUGAUAAUUUAGGAUUAUUUUAAUUUAAAAUUUUAGUCGAAUUUUAUUGGGGUAAUAUAAAGAUUAAAUAAAUUCUUUUUAUUCAUUACAUUGAUUUAUGAAUUAUUGAUCCAAUAUUAUUGAUUAUAAGAUUAAGUUACCUUAGGGAUAACAGCGUAAUUUUUUUGGAGAGCUCAUAUCGAUAAAAAAGUUUGCGACCUCGAUGUUGGAUUAAAAAUUAUCUUGGGUGCAGAAGCUUGAGAUUUUGGUCUGUUCGACCAUUAAAUUUUUACAUGAUCUGAGUUCAGACCGGCGUAAGCCAGGUCGGUUUCUAUCUUUAUUUAUUUCAAAUAUUUUAGUACGAAAGGACCAAGUAUUUAAUAUAGUUAUAUUUAUUUUUUGAAUUAUAUUAUUGCUUUGGCAGAAUAGUGCAAUGAAUUUAGAAUUCAUGAAUGUAACGUAGUUACAAGCAAUACUUGUAUUUGGGAGAUUUAUUAUCAAUGGUGUUAUGUAUGUUAAUUCUUGUAAUUUGUGUAUUAGUCGGUGUUGCUUUUUUGACAUUGCUUGAACGUAAGGUUUUGGGAUAUAUUCAAAUUCGUAAGGGCCCUAAUAAGGU
rnacentral:rRNA from 1 species